rnacentral:lncRNA from 1 species
GUCUGCCAUCUUACAUUGCUAUUACCAGUUUUGAUAUGUAGUAGCAAACAAUUUUUCUUUCUUUUUAGUUGUAUAAUGGUCUUAAUUUUAUAGCUAAUUUAUGUAUGACUACAAAAAAAGUCUUCGAGCAUGUGAUGUAGUUCAAAAGGCACUGAUAUAGUGUUUGUGGACAGCAUCACAUUCUUAGUUAUGGUAGUGCUUGAACCAUAAAUAUGCCCAAGUUACUCUUUCCUUGCACUUGAAAGAGUGUUUUGUUUGGGGAUUUGUGUUUGGUUGCUGGUAGUCCUGUUUGAAUAUCCAAGUAAAUAGACAAUAGAUACCAUGCAAGCUCGCCUUACUCGUAGGCAUGGUGCAUGCUGAACAAGAGGCAAUUUCUAUGGAUCCUAAAGAGGUAAUAAAUUCAGAAGUACACACACUAAUUAACAAACACCACCUCCAAAUUACAAAAUGUUUUAAUCCUUCACCUUCUCACUUCCUAUAGAAUAGCUAACCCUUCACCUUCUCACUUCCUAUAGAAUAGCAUCAUACCAGGCCCUUGCCCUUCUCUUUCCUCUGCACUUAACGGGAGAAUAGCUUUCUCUACUCUAGCGAAAACUCGAAGAACAGCACAAUGAUGAGCAAUUUCGAAUAAGAGGAGUUAGAGAAGAGAGAGAAAAAAUUCUUUGCAUUGCACUCGAGGAUUCAGCUUUGAUUUAUUUUUAUUCUCGUGUUUAGCUAAGGUGAAAUCACCUUCCAUAAGGGUCCACUCAUCAUUUUCCCUACCCUCUUAUAUCAUCUAAUUAUUACUUAAAUUGGUCAUCAAGUUCCUUUUAUGUUAAACUGCAGUGAGUUUGAGGAACUGGAAGCUGUUCCAACUAUGACAGUUAUGGAUGGUCCUCUAGAGUUGGGUGAAAUGAGAUAUGAUAAUAAUAUAGUCUGUAUUUUUUUCUAUAUCCUAAUAAUAAUGUAGUCUUUAUAUGAUAGUUAAAUAAUAAUGUAGUCUUUAUAUGAUAGUUGUGUAGACGUGGGCAAUGAAGAAAGGUUAGAAAAGUUGCCUAAUGGUGGUUGAAAGGGGGGAAAAAUGUGGCUACUAGGUCGAUUUGCACAUUUGUCAUCCAUUGGAAAACAUAAGUGGGAAAAAUGUGGCUGCUCGGUCGAUUUGCACAUUGUCAUCAUUGGAGAAUAUAAGUUGAGUAGGCACUAUUUAUUGACAACUCAUUGAUUUUUUUUUUGGGGGCCCCCGGGGAGGGGGGGGUGAUAAGAUGUUGACAACCCAUAGAUUGCUAUUUUAGCUUUAAAAAAGAUCAAAUAGAUGAUGCUGCAAAGUUCCAAGUCAAAACAAGAAAAAGGGAAAAGAAAUUUCAACGGAGGUUCAAAGCAAUAGAUAUUCUCUUGGCAGGAGAUCCAGUAAGUCACCUAUCUGGAAAAAUGCCCCAAGUCUCCUUCUUCCUUCAAGAUUGUAAGGUUCAGUUGGGGCCCCUGGUUUCUGACUCAAGUUUGUUAAUUGGGUUGGAAGGUAUCUGGAUUAAUGCUCCUAACAUAUCUCCUGAUGCGACAUAGUUGUAAAACAAUUGUAUUCUCUUCCAUUUAGAAUGGCUGUAUCAUACUCUUAUGGGUGCCUAGUAUUGUUGAGUUCAUAAGAGUGAUUUUUCUAUUGUAUAUUGUUAGCAGUUGCUAACAGUUGAGGCAAACUAAUUCUUGUUACAAGCAUGUUUAUGGGAGGACCCUGGAUGUGAUGCUAUCUUUACGCAUAUUGUAAAAUUGAUAUUAACAUUAUUUAUUUGGCUUCCAAAUGCAGGAUUCUGAAUGCAUAUUCCAAGGUGCCUCAAAAGUCGAAAGUUGCCACACCUAAAAGGCAAUGAUAGCUCAAUUUAUAUUUUGCAAGUUGUAUGUUAUUUUUACCCCGCAAGAAAGUAUUAUGCUCUCAUACCAGGCCCUUGCCCUUCUCUUUCCUCUGCACUUAACGGGAGAAUAGCUUUCUCUACUCUAGCGAAAACUCGAAGAACAGCACAAUGAUGAGCAAUUUCGAAUAAGAGGAGUUAGAGAAGAGAGACAAAAAAUUCUUUGCAUUGCACUCGAGGAUUCAGCUUUGAUUUAUUUUUAUUCUCGUGUUUAGCUAAGGUGAAAUCACCUUCCAUAAGGGUCCACUCAUCAUUUUCCCUAACCUCUUAUAUCAUCUAAUUAUUACUUAAAUUGGUCAUCAAGUUCCUUUUAUGUUAAACUGCAGUGAGUUUGAGGAACUGGAAGCUGUUCCAACUAUGGCAGUUAUGGAUGGUCCUCUAGAGUCAACUCCCUCAAAUGCUGCUGAUGCUCCUGAAGAUCCUGCUUUUGUGAACUUCUUUAGUGUAUGUUUUCUUUGAAAUAAUAUGUUUCUGCAUAAGUAUGCAACAUUACCACAAAAAUGCUGCAAGUCAUAUACUAAAUCGACAAUAGAUACCAUGCAAGCUCGCCUUACUCGUAGGCACAGUGCAUGCUAAACAAGAGGCAAUUUCUAUGGAUCCUAAAGACGUAAUAAAUUCAGAAGUACACACACUAACAAACACCACCUACAAAUUGUAAAAUGUUGUAACCCUUCACCUUCUCACUUCCUAUAGAAUAGCGUCAUACCAGGCCCUUGCCCUUCUCUUUCCUCUGCACUUAACGGGAGAAUAGCUUUCUCUACUCUAGCGAAAACUCGAAGAACAGCACAAUGAUGAGCAAUUUCGAAUAAGAGGAGUUAGAGAAGAGAGACAAAAAAUUCUUUGCAUUGCACUCGAGGAUUCAGCUUUGAUUUAUUUUUAUUCUCGUGUUUAGCUAAGGUGAAAUCACCUUCCAUAAGGGUCCACUCAUCAUUUUCCCUACCCUCUUAUAUCAUCUAAUUAUUACUUAAAUUGGUCAUCAAGUUCCUUUUAUGUUAAACUGCAGUGAGUUUGAGGAACUGGAAGCUGUUCCAACUAUGGCAGUUAUGGAUGGUCCUCUAGAGUCAAC